GUGCCAGCAGCCGCGGUAAUACAGAGGUCCCAGGCGUUGUUCGGAUUUACCGGGCGUAAAGGGUGCGUAGGCGGUUGGGUAAGUCUGACGUGAAAUCUCCGAGCCUAACUCGGAAACUGCGUUGGAUACUAUCCGGCUAGAGGAAUGGAGGGGAGACUGGAAUACCUGGUGUAGCAGUGAAAUGCGUAGAUAUCAAGUGGAACACCAGUGGCGAAGGCGAGUCUCUGGACAUUUCCUGACGCUGAGGCACGAAAGCCAGGGGAGCAAACGGGAUUAGAUACCCCGGUAGUCC
rnacentral:rRNA from 1 species